AUUGAACGCUGGCGGCAGGCCUAACACAUGCAAGUCGAGCGGCAGCGGGAAAGUAGCUUGCUACUUUUGCCGGCGAGCGGCGGACGGGUGAGUAAUGCCUGGGAAAUUGCCCAGUCGAGGGGGAUAACAGUUGGAAACGACUGCUAAUACCGCAUACGCCCUACGGGGGAAAGCAGGGGACCUUCGGGCCUUGCGCGAUUGGAUAUGCCCAGGUGGGAUUAGCUAGUUGGUGAGGUAAUGGCUCACCAAGGCGACGAUCACUAGCUGGUCUGAGAGGAUGAUCAGCCACACUGGAACUGGGACACGGUCCAGACUCCUACGGGAGGCAGCAGUGGGGAAUAUUGCACAAUGGGGGAAACCCUGAUGCAGCCAUGCCGCGUGUGUGAAGAGGGCCUUCGGGUUGUAAAGCACUUUCAGCGGGGAGGAAGGGCUACUAGUUAAUACCUAGUGGCAUUGACGUUACUCGCAGAAGAAGCACCGGCUAACUCCGUGCCAGCCGCCGCGGUAAGAC
rnacentral:rRNA from 1 species